CAGCCGCCGCGGUAAUACAGAGGGUGCAAGCGUUAAUCGGAUUUACUGGGCGUAAAGGGCGCGUAGGUGGUUAUUUAAGUGAGAUGUGAAAGCCCCGGGCUUAACCUGGGAACUGCAUCUUAUACUGGGUAACUGGAGUGCAGUAGAGGGUAGUGGAAUCUCCGGUGUAGCGGUGAAAUGCGUAGAUAUCGGAAGGAACACCAGUGGCGAAGGCGGCUACCUGGACUGAGACUGACACUGAGGCGCGAGAGCGUGGGGAGCAAACAGGAUUAGAUACCCCCGUAGUCCCUGUCUCUUAUAA
rnacentral:rRNA from 1 species